UGAGGUGCAGUGAGGUGUGGGGUGCCCUGGGGCUGGGGGUGCUGAGGCACGAGAGGGAGUAUGGGGACUGGGAGGCGGGCAGGGGCCAGGCCGCGGGGGUGGCGUGAAGCAGCUUCUCCCUGAGCCUCGUGUGUCGCAGGAUCUGUGCUGGGGGUCACCUCCGGAGGAGCCGCAGCCCUGAGUCGUGACCAGAGGUCGCUGAGUCUGCGUGGGACGUCCGCGGCCCUCAGGUGUUCCUGCUCGCCACGGAGACUGCUGAGUCUGCGCCCUGUCCCAGGCCGAGGUGGCUGAACUGAAGGUCUCUGCGUGAUGGUGAGAGUGUUGCCCUUGCGGUUCCCUUUGGUUAUAUCUGCGUGGUCUCUAGGUUAUAGGAGGUAAUUUUGUCUAAGUAGAUGGUAAACAUUAAUAAAAUCCAGUUCU